AUCAUCUGUUCUUUUGGACUCUAGAACAUAUCUCAAAAGUACAAUCAAUCAGAAACUCUACAACUGUUGUUGUUAAGCUAAUAUCCUAUCACAGAAUGAGUGUUGUUACAAUUGUGAAUACUCGCACGAAGGAUAACUAUUAGUGUUCUGCAGAAUGGGUGACCAUUUAGGUAGCUUCAUUCCAGUAAAGUGUACUUGAAGUGUAAUCUCCUUUGCUCGAUCUUUGGCGUCUCUGCUCGAUUGUUGAAACCUUCUGUUGUUCCUUUCCAUCCAGAUGUUGUAAACUACUGCUGCAAACACCAAACCUAAGAUUGUUUUUCUGGGGUUUCUGCUGUUUACAUUAGCAGUUAACCAUUGCACUUCUGUUUCCCAUGUGCCUGUCGUUCUUUCGUACUUCAACCAUUGUAACAUACCUUGCCACAAUGCUUGGGAGUAUAAGCAAUCAAAGUAUAAAUGGUCGUGUGUUUCUUCAAUAUCUCUUCCACAUAAGAUGCAUGAUUGAUUAAUUUGAAUUCCCCAUUUAGCUAAUCUGUCAACUGUUGCCAAGCGUCUAUGCAGCGCCAUCCAUAAGAUGUAUUUCUGUUUCGGGAGCAGGCCAGUCACCAUUAAUAAUUUUUUCCAUCGAACCUUGGGAUAUUGUGGAGUGGUCUGAAUGUAUGCCUUCCUGAUGCUAAAUUGCCCAUUUUUUGUACAUGUUUGCAUUCCUAUUCCAUCAGCUGGUGGUAUGAAUAUAUGCCUUCCUGAUGCUAAAUUGCCCAUUUUGGUACAUGUUUGCAUUCCUGUUCCAUCAGUUGCCCACUAUUCUCUUGCGCCAAAUAAUUUUCUAACGAGCCAGCUAGCUUGUUUAGGUGUUUCCAUAGUAUUAAUGUCUUUUUUCUUUAUGUAGUGACAAUGGAUCCAUUAGAUCCAGAUUUUGUCUUUCUUAGACAUUAAGGCCCAGAGAAGUUUUGAUAGAGCUGCUUUAUUCCAUCUUUCAUAGGAGAUAAUGUUCAAACCUCCUGCUGCCUCUGG
rnacentral:lncRNA from 1 species